GCAGCCGCAGAUUCGGACCCCAGCCGCCUGCGGUCGGCCACACGCAUACCGUCCGCGAGCCUGCCUCACCCUUACGCUUCUGCUCGGAGAAGCUGCGAAGGUCCCGCCGUCCCUCGGGAUCUGCCUACACUUGUUCACAUUCACUUACUACCAUUGACUGCACGUCACUCUAAGCAGAGACCUCCGAUACACCCAUUGCCCCUGAGGGCACCAUCCGAAGGCUCAUUAUUUUUACGUAGAAAUGGCCUUGAGAGCUUGGACCCGAGGAGAAUUACUCAAACAUUAAUUAGAAGAUUGAGAUUCAUCAGUUAACGUUCAGGGAGUUCACACAUUGGACAAUGGGACAAUUAAACCUGCUAGCAGUAACCCAGAAUCUGCUGUGGAUAAACUAGCUAGAAAGCUCACCCAGGCCACCACCUGAAAAACCACACCCUGGGAAGUCCAGAAAAGAGUCGGCACAUAAUGGACACACAAUGCACACAUAAGCUAUGUCAAGCCUUUCCGCCAGUCAGUCCUGGGUGCUUUCUCAGAAGCCAGCAGCCUCCCUAACAUGUCCUUUACCGUGGGCUUAGAGCAGUGGAUUUCAAAGAAAUGGAGCAUAUAAUGCAAUGCACUGGCAUCUUGAAACUAGGUAAGUGUUGGUUCCUGUCACAUCAAGUACUGAACAGUAAACCUCUACUGGUCUUGAUUUCACCUGUCAUUGCUGGUUUAGCUCAGCUUCCUGACUUCUUUCUGACCUACUUAUAGAUGAUACAAAGAUCUUCACUGCAUUUGCAUUUCUUUCCAGAAAAUCACCUGACUGCCAGUAUAGUCAUGUUCAUGAAUGCCUGAUGGCUCAGGAAAGCCUCUGUAAGAACCUGUGGGAUAAAUACUCAGAAAGGCAUUCUUAGAGCAGUUGGCAAUGCUAUUGUGGAAUUUGUGAAGCAAUAAGAUAACAAGAUCAUGAGGCCCUUCCUCUCCUCUCAACCAAGCAGAUCUAUUUACUGUACUAUUAUUUUUCAUAGGAAAAUAAAAUCAUGAAAGGAU